UACGUAGGGGACCAGCGUUGUCCGGAUUUACUGGGCGUAAAGAGCGCGCAGGCGGUCAUUCAAGUCGAGUGUGAAAGCCCCCGGCUCAACUGGGGAGGGUCACUUGAUACUGAUCGACUCGAAGGCAGGAGAGGGAAGCGGAAUUCCCGGUGUAGUGGUGAAAUGCGUAGAUAUCGGGAGGAACACCAGUGGCGAAGGCGGCUUCCUGGCCUGUUCUUGACGCUGAGGCGCGAAAGCUAGGGGAGCAAACGGG
rnacentral:rRNA from 1 species